GUGAGGUGAUGACAAAGUUUAUCCAUUCUCUGAGUGCAGUGGCGCCGCCCUCCUGUAGCACCCCGAUUCCUGUUCUAGGGUCUGGGUGCUGUGCAGCCUCCAGAGACUCUCCAGUCUCCCAGUGUCCUACUGGGGGUUGCUGUGGUGUGUGGCUGGCUGGCUGCCUGCAGGAGUGAAGUGGUGCCAGCAGGGAUGGAGCCCCUCUUUGGGGGGGGGCUCCAUCCUCACUGAGAUGAGGGAUGAUGUCUGAUCAC
rnacentral:snoRNA from 1 species